UACGUAGGGUGCGAGCGUUAAUCGGAAUUAUUGGGCGUAAAGCGCACGUAGGCGGCUUUGCAAGUCCCAUGUGAAAUCCCACGGCUCAACCGUGGAAGUGCAUGGGAAACUGCAGAGCUUGAGUACUUAAGAGGAUCGCGGAAUUCCCGGUGUAGAGGUGAAAUUCGUAGAUAUCGGGAGGAACACCAGUGGCGAAGGCGGCGAUCUGGGAAGAUACUGACGCUGAGGUGCGAAAGCGUGGGGAGCAAACAGG
rnacentral:rRNA from 1 species